UGAGGAAUAUUGGUCAAUGGGCGGGAGCCUGAACCAGCCAAGCCGCGUGAGGGAGGAAGGCCCUAUGGGUCGUAAACCUCUUUUGUCAGGGAACAAAAGCGAGUAUGUAUACUAGUCUGAGUGUACCUGAAGAAAAAGCAUCGGCUAACUCCGUGCCAGCAGCCGCGGUAAUACGGAGGAUGCGAGCGUUAUCCGGAUUUAUUGGGUUUAAAGGGUGCGUAGGCGGCGGUGCAAGUCAGCGGUAAAAGCCCGGGGGCUCAACCCCGGCGAGCCGUUGAAACUGCAGUGCUAGAGAAGGCGAGAGGUACGCGGAAUGCGCAGUGUAGCGGUGAAAUGCUUAGAUAUUGCGCAGAACUCCGAUUGCGAAGGCAGCGUACUGGCGCCUGACUGACGCUGAGGCACGAAAGCGUGGGGAUCGGAACAGGAUUAGAUACC
rnacentral:rRNA from 1 species